rnacentral:rRNA from 1 species
GACGAACGCUGGCGGCGUGCUUAACACAUGCAAGUCGAACGGAAAGGCCCUGCUUUUGUGGGGUGCUCGAGUGGCGAACGGGUGAGUAACACGUGAGUAACCUGCCCUUGACUUUGGGAUAACUUCAGGAAACUGGGGCUAAUACCGGAUAGGAGCUCCUGCUGCAUGGUGGGGGUUGGAAAGUUUCGGCGGUUGGGGAUGGACUCGCGGCUUAUCAGCUUGUUGGUGGGGUAGUGGCUUACCAAGGCUUUGACGGGUAGCCGGCCUGAGAGGGUGACCGGCCACAUUGGGACUGAGAUACGGCCCAGACUCCUACGGGAGGCAGCAGUGGGGAAUAUUGCACAAUGGUCGGAAGCCUGAUGCAGCAACGCCGCGUGCGGGAUGACGGCCUUCGGGUUGUAAACCGCUUUCGCCUGUGACGAAGCGUGAGUGACGGUAAUGGGUAAAGAAGCACCAGCUAACUACGUG